UCCUGUAUCGAAAGUGACUGUGGAGCCAUCUCCAGGCCAUUGAUACUACAGGAAGAGCAAGUGAAAGACUUUCCCGUGUUUGCUGGACUGUUCCUGACAAACCCUGGAUCUUUCACACA
rnacentral:snoRNA from 1 species